rnacentral:rRNA from 2 species
GGUUAAGUUACAAAGGGCGCACGGUGGAUGCCUUGGCACUAGGAGCCGAUGAAGGACGGAACUAAUACCGAUAUGCUUCGGGGAGCUAUAAGUAAGCUUUGAUCCGGAGAUUUCCGAAUGGGGGAACCCAGUACACAUCAGUGUAUUGCCUGCAAGUGAAUACAUAGCUUGUUGGCGGCAGACGCGGGGAACUGAAACAUCUCAGUACCCGCAGGAAGAGAAAGAAAACUCGAUUCCCAUAGUAGCGGCGAGCGAAGUGGGAAGGAGCCCAAACCGAGAAGCUUGCUUUCUCGGGGGUUGUAGGACUGGACAUUGGAGUUACCAAAGUUCGACGUACUCGAAGUCAGCUGGCAAAGCUGCGCCAAUAGAAGGUGAAAAGCCCCUUGUAGACGAAAUCGGGCGGACUCCUCCGUUCCAAGCAUCCCUGGAGUACUGGCGGGAGCACGUGAUA